rnacentral:misc_RNA from 1 species
GAUGAAGAACGUAGUAAAAUGCGAUAAGUAAUGUGAAUUGCAGAAUUCAGUGAAUCAUCGAAUCUUUGAACGCACAUUGCGCCCGCCAGUAUUCUGGCGGGCAUGCCUGUUCGAGCGUCAUUUCAACCCUCAAGCUCAGCUUGGUGUUGGGACUCGCGGUAACUCGCGUUCCCCAAAUCGAUUGGCGGUCACGUCGAGCUUCCAUAGCGUAGUAAUCAUACACCUCGUUACUGGUAAUCGUCGCGGCCACGCCGUAAAACCCCAACUUCUGAAUGUUGACCUCGGAUCAGGUAGGAAUACCCGCUGAACUUAAGCAUAUCAAUAAGCGGAGGA